GGUGGAGAGAUACUGACAGUAGGGGAGGAGGUGGAGAGAUACUGACAGUAGAGGAGGAGGUGUAGAGAUAUAUACAGUAGAGGAGGAGGUGUAGAGAGGUGUAGAGAUACUGACAGUAGGGGAGGAGGUGUAGAGAUACAGACAGUAGAGGAGGAGGUGUAGAGGGGUGGAGAGAUACUGACAGUAGAGGGAUGGAGAGAUACUGACAGUAGAGGAGGAGGUGUAGAGAUACAGACAGUAGAGGGAUGGAGAGAUACAGACAGUAGAGGAGGAGGUGUAGAGAUACAGACAGUAGAGGAGGAGGUGUAGAGAUACAGACAGUAGGGGAGGAGUUCUAGAGAUACAGACAGUAGGGGAGGGGGUGUAGAGGUGUG
ensembl:lncRNA